UGAGGAAUAUUGGUCAAUGGGCGAGAGCCUGAACCAGCCAAGUCGCGUGAAGGAAGAAGGUUCUAUGGAUUGUAAACUUCUUUUGUAAGGGAAUAAAAAAGGUUACGUGUAACCUCUUGUAUGUACUUUACGAAUAAGGAUCGGCUAACUCCGUGCCAGCAGCCGCGGUAAUACGGAGGAUCCGAGCGUUAUCCGGAUUUAUUGGGUUUAAAGGGUGCGUAGGCGGACCCAUAAGUCAGUGGUGAAAGUUUGCAGCUUAACUGUAAAAUUGCCAUUGAAACUGUGGGUCUUGAGUGUAAAUGAGGUAGGCGGAAUGUGUUGUGUAGCGGUGAAAUGCUUAGAUAUAACACAGAACACCAAUUGCGAAGGCAGCUUACUGGGAUACAACUGACGCUGAGGCACGAAAGCGUGGGGAUCAAACA
rnacentral:rRNA from 1 species